rnacentral:rRNA from 1 species
UAACGAAUAUUCCGCAAUGGGCGAAAGCCUGACGGAGCAAUGCCGCGUGCAGGAUGAAGCGCCUUCGGCGUGUAAACUGCUGUCAGGGGAUAGAAACAUUGAUCAUCUCCAGAGGAAGGGGCGACUAACUCUGUGCCAGCAGUCGCGGUAAUACAGAGGCCCCAAGCGUUAGUCGGAAUCACUGGGCUUAAAGGGUGCGUAGGCGGGUCGGUAAGUGCCUUGUGAAAGCCCAUGGCUCAACCAUGGAACCGCAGGGCAUACUGCCAAUCUUGAGGAAACUAGAGGCCGGUGGAACGAUAGGUGGAGCGGUGGAAUGCUUAGAGAUCUAUCGGAACGCCAAUGGUGAAGACAGCCGGCUGGGGUUUUCCUGACGCUGAGGCACGAAAGCGUGGGGAGCAAA